UACGUAGGGGGCAAGCGUUGUCCGGAUUUAUUGGGCGUAAAGAGCUCGUAGGCGGCUUGUCACGUCGGGUGUGAAAGCCCGGGGCUUAACCCCGGGUCUGCAUUCGAUACGGGCUAGCUAGAGUGUGGUAGGGGAGAUCGGAAUUCCUGGUGUAGCGGUGAAAUGCGCAGAUAUCAGGAGGAACACCGGUGGCGAAGGCGGAUCUCUGGGCCAUUACUGACGCUGAGGCGCGAAAGCUAGGGGAGCAAACAGG
rnacentral:rRNA from 1 species